rnacentral:rRNA from 1 species
GUGAGGAAUAUUGGUCAAUGGACGAGAGUCUGAACCAGCCAAGUCGCGUGAAGGAAGACGGUUCUAUGAAUUGUAAACUUCUUUUGUGCAGGAAUAAAGUGGGUUACGUGUAACCUUUUGUAUGUACUGUACGAAUAAGGAUCGGCUAACUCCGUGCCAGCAGCCGCGGUAAUACGGAGGAUCCGAGCGUUAUCCGGAUUUAUUGGGGUUAAAGGGUGCGUAGGUGGAUUGAUAAGUCAGCGGUGAAAGUUUGCAGAUUAACUGUAAAAUUGCCGUUGAAACUGUCGGUCUUGAGUGCAAAUGAGGUAGGCGGAAUGUGUUGUGUAGCGGUGAAAUGCUUAGAUAUAACACAGAACUCCGAUUGCGAAGGCAGCUUACUGGGAUGCAACUGACACUGAUGCACGAAAGCGUGGGUAUCAAACAGGAUUAGAAACCCCGGUAGUCC